rnacentral:misc_RNA from 1 species
ACAAAACAAAAUUUACCCUGAUUCCGCAUUUUAUAAAUGCGAGUCAACACCUCUCAAACAUCAAUUAACGUAAGUUACAUCACAAACUUCAAAAUGCCAAAACACAUCACAUGGUACAUUAGACAUACAAUACAAAGACAAGAGACACUUAUGCUUCAAGAGAAGCAACCGAUGACCUAUUAACCCCCAAUGGUACUCAGAGAAAGAAGCCUACCCAGAGUAUCCCAAAAACAAUUAAAUCCAACCAAACGAGAAAUGGAUUAAAGUAAAUAUUUGUACAAGGCAGAAACGACAAUACCUGCUCGCUAGACCAUUCACAACAAGCUCAUUAACAACAUUAGAUAUCAAUCUGUGCAUGAAAUUUCCUCCCGCCAUGGCUCUUUUAUUUGAUUAGUAUCACCUCUGUUAAAAAGAUGAACAGUGAAAAGAUUAUACGCGCAAAGUUCUGGAACCUACCCGAAUUUGCGAAAAUUGCGUGCAGAGAAAGCCAACCUUGAUCUUACUGUAAGAGGAGCGUCUUUUGGGUUGGAACGAUUUGAGGCUCAGAACCAAGGCGCAUUGGCUCAGUUCCUUAGUUCUUUGGACUAUGCAUUAAAACAACGCCAGUGAACCGAUAGCCAGGAUAAAUGGGCUGAAGUGGCCGAUAAUUAACAUACUUUUAAUAAUGGGUUGAGG